ACUCAUAAGUUUGAAUAGUUUCUCCUUUCAUAUCAACUAUACACAACACACACUUUUUGAGGUCUUUCGGGUUGUAACGGGGCUUGGGUUAUGGUGUGGUAAAUACAAACAAAAAGGAAAAUAAGUGACUUUGGAUUCAGAGCCAAUGUUAGUAUUCUUUUCACUGUGUUUUAUUCUUUUCCUUUUCAAUUGCUCAUUUUUUCUUUGAUAUUCUCUUUUUUUUCAACUGAGUGCUUUUCCUUCGGUGAGUGCUUCUUUUGAACCAUCGAUUAUAUUUCGUUUUCUCAAAUUUUUGAUGGUCGUUUUUCUUCUUCUUCUUUUUU
rnacentral:lncRNA from 1 species